CACUAUGAAGAAGGUAUUUUUCCUCCUGAAAAUAAAAACCCAGGACAUCCAUAACACGCUGCAUUAUUAAAGGAGUUCUCAGGGCUACUGACCUUACAGUAGAAAUUGAGUAGUAGUAUAUUCCUCUUACACCA